rnacentral:misc_RNA from 1 species
GAGCUACAUUUAUGAUAAAACCAAAUAUAAUCCAAACUGAAAUACAUGAGAUAUGAUGCAUCGGAUAUUAAAGUCAUAAGAACAUGAUUGUCUAAACAUUAAAUUGUUGCGAUAGAUAUAUUCUUAUAAUAUUAAACUUGUGGGCCUACGUAAUAUGUGGUAAAACUUUAACUGAAUCAACGAAUGUAACCGUUAUAUUCAUCGCUACGUUGGAUCAGUCCGAUGAAAAGGAUCUCAACAUACAGCACGAUAUCACAAGAUUUAUAUCACACAAUUUUCUUUCCUGAUCGUGAAAAUCGGGCAACUCCCUUGUGCCACUCAGUUCUUCGCAAUGGCGGCUGUACUUCGUCGAUUGAAAAAUUCCGUGUUCUUGAUGUAACUGUUGAAAACUGGAUAUACUAGUGUAAUGAGUUACAAUAUGUUUUACAACUAAUUCAAUGACUCUUGUAUAAUAUUAAAACGUCAUUAAUAAGUCGAUGGAUUCGAUCUAUGGAUAUCUUCUUCCGCAAUAUCAUGAUGUCGAAGUGCACUGCGCGCGCGUGCACCUGUGUGUUUAUAGCUCUCAUACAUUCGCGUGUAUAUAACGUAAGGUGACAUGCCUAGCAGUCGUGACAUCGAAAGAGGUGAACGUAAUGGGAGAUUUAGAUCGCGGAGGAGAAGUAGUGCAGGCAGUGAUGUAAAUCGUCAUAGUUUUGAGAGCUCUGAUAAAAGCAGACACAGACGGCAUGGGAAGAGUAAAAGUUCUGGUAAAAAAAAGAAGAAAAGGUCACGUGACAAAUCUUUAGAAAGCGUACCAACUGUAGCCUCCUCUAUCGUCAAACCAUUGGUUGAAUAUUCCGAUGUAAGUAGCGAAGAUCUAUCUGAACCAGAAGCAGGAGAAAUUCAGUCAGAGGAUAGCAGAGGUAAUAGUUAUACGGACGGAGAUGUACCUGAAACUGUUCUGCAAAGGACGUAUUACAGAAAUAGUCCUCAAAGAACUCUUGGAGCAUCACCGAUUAGUCUUUCACCUUCUCCUCCAGUACAGCACAGACAUUCUAACAGACAUUACUCGUCAAACGAGCAACAACCUGCAACAAGUAUGCACAGUGGUACGCCAGAAUACGAGGAAGAAUCUAGACGUUAUCCUAGAAGAAAAGAGAAGAAACAUAAACGAGAGAAAAAAAAGAAAAGAAGUUUAAGUCCAUCAUCUAGUAUAGGUAAAAAGAAGAAGAGAAAAUCUAAACGAUGUUCUCGUAGCCUUAGUCCACAUCAUAUAACUGAAGAAGUUAUAAUCAGUCCAGAUCAUGAAAAACCAGUUGAAAAUUGGUCAGAAUCCCCUCCUUUACCUUUGAAGGAUAGUACUUCUCCUAUAUCGCCUGCUACUCCUCAAGAACAAAGAUGUCUCAGUGACGUAGAACUUGAGUUGAUAAGGCAACCUAGGAACGUUACACCACCUCCUCAUUCACCCGUUCGACAAACAGAGUCACCGCAUACUCCAUUAUUACCACCUAGGGCAACAACGCCAAUAGGUAACAAAACAAGCACAUCUACAAGAAAACACAGUCCAGAGAGACUGAAACAUAGUCCCAAUAUACAUACAAGACAUAGUCCCGCUAGUCCCAAUGCAACAACUAGUUCAACUCGUAGGCGACCUCAUAGUCCUAGCCCAGCAAGGCGUAGAGAUCAUAGUCCACCACGAAGAAGAGAUUUUAGUCCAAUGUUACAUAGAACCAGACACAGUCCUAGUCCAUCAACAUUGAGACGAAGAGAAUUUAGUCCCAGUCCUGUAAGUCACAGAAGAAGAGGUGAUCCUUCUACAUCUCCUUCUUCGAGUAAACGCAGAAGAAAGGAAGUAGGAUCUGAUCGAAGGUAUAGACAUCAUGAAAAAGAUAGGAGGGAUAAAAGAAAAUCAAGAUCAAUUAGAAGUCCUACCAGCAGCAGGUUGCCUAUGCCACUUUCACGAUCACGAUCUCGUAGUCCUGGGCGAUGGACUAGAAAAAUGCAAUCACGUUCAAGAUCACGUUCACGAAGAAGAAGUCGAAGUCCUAAAAAAUCACGUUCACCUAGUAAAUCACACAAAUCGUCGAGAAAGCAUAAAUCAAAAAGCCCGCGUCCCUCGAGGAUUCCUUCUCCGUCUCCGCAUAGGUCAAGAGCUAGAAGCCCAACAAGUAUUACUGCAAGAAAUCUUCGGAUGCAAGCUAAAAUAAAUGAAACUAGUUUGUUUGCUGAACUUGUCAAGGAUAGAAAUAUGAGAGAAUUGGCAUAUAAAAAGUUACAAGCGGCGAAGGAGAAAGCUAUCAAUCAAGACGAGGUUCAAAUAAUAGAAGGCACAGACGAGAAAGAUUCAAGUACCGGAGCGACCGAAAAUAAGGCUAACUUUGAUAACAAAAGCAAACCUAUAAGUCAUAAAGAACCAUUGAAAUCAUCAAACGAAACUAUGAAAUCUCUUGAUGUUGUUAACAUUCCAGUUCCGGUCACAGAAGAUAUUAAUAUAGCAGGGAGAACUCCACCUUUACCGAUGCAUUCGACACAUAGUGCAUCUUCCAAUGUUAUACCAAGGACAAGUGCACCAUCUCAUACCGUCGUGCGUACAUCACCAACAAUAUCCGUACCCAACAAUUGUCAUGCUACUAUUGCAAAUAGUCCGAGCAUUCCAGCUAACAUGAGUGCACAGCCUCCGCCACUGCCUCAACCUGAAACUAGAAAUACAUCAGGCUUGUCACAUGUACCUGUACCAGUGCCUAUUCCUGUACCAGUACUACCAACAGUUCUUGCAAAUUUAUCAGUUCCUCCGCCACCUAUUCCUAUUCCAGUUCCAGCACCAAAUACUGUUAUCUCCAAAUUUAAUUUACCAAAUAACCUAGUUCCUUUGAAAUCAGUGGAUCCGCCAAAGCCACCUAUUGUAGCAUUUAAGACUAAGAGUUUAUCAAAAUUACCAUUACCACCUGGUAUUAAUCAGAACGAUUUGGAGAGUAUAGAUUCACCUCCUAGUCAUUCGCCAAGUCCGCCAAGUAAAGCACAAAUGAAAUUCCCAUCUUCGACUCCCAAACCACCGCAGAAAAAGAGCAUUAAAGAUUUGCCUAUGCCACCAGUCGUUCCUGGGUCUGAAGAUUUGAGUGGAGAAGAAGAUCCAAAUGCGACGCCACCGCAACACGUAGUUGAACGUAUCACUCCAAAGCCAAAAUUGAAGAGGCCAAAAAUAUUAAAAAGGAGAAGUUCACGGAAUUGUCACCUUCCUAUGUCAGCCUCUGGUGGCAAGGAUUGGGGCGAACGUUGCGUUGACGUAUUUGAUUUUAUUGCACAGAUUGGGGAAGGCACUUAUGGCCAAGUAUACAAAGCUCAAGAUAAGAGAGCGGGUAUACUUGUUGCCUUAAAAAAAGUUCGUUUAGAAAAUGAGAAGGAAGGUUUUCCUAUAACGGCGGUCCGCGAGAUUAAAAUAUUAAGACAGUUAAAUCACAAGAAUAUUGUUAAUCUUCGAGAAAUCGUGACUGAUAAGCAAGAUGCUUUGGAUUUUAGAAAGGAUAAAGGAUCGUUUUAUCUUGUCUUUGAAUAUAUGGAUCACGAUUUAAUGGGACUCUUAGAAUCUGGCAUGGUUGAUUUUAAUGAAAUGAACAACGCCAGUAUAAUGAAACAAUUAUUGGAUGGACUAAAUUACUGUCAUAGUAAAAAUUUCUUGCAUAGAGAUAUUAAAUGUUCUAAUAUAUUGAUGAAUAAUAAAGGGGAAGUAAAAUUAGCAGAUUUUGGAUUAGCGAGGCUUUACAAUGCUGAAGAUCGUCAAAGACCAUAUACGAAUAAAGUUAUUACGUUAUGGUAUAGACCGCCUGAACUUUUAUUGGGUGAGGAACGGUACGGGCCUGCCAUUGACGUUUGGAGUUGCGGAUGUAUUUUAGGAGAACUGUUUUAUAAAAAACCUUUAUUCCAGGCAAACAUAGAAAUGCUACAAUUAGAAAUGAUUUCAAGAAUUUGCGGUACACCUACUCCAGCCGUUUGGCCAUCCGUUAUAAACUUACCUUUAUGGCAUACGCUUAGACCAAGAAAGUCACAUAGACGACGUUUAAGAGAGGAGUUUUCAUUUAUGCCGCCACUAGCAUUGGAUCUUUUGGAUAAAAUGUUAGAGUUAGAUCCUGAAAAACGUAUAACGGCAGCUGACGCAUUAAAAAGUAAUUGGUUGAAAAAUGUCGAACCUGAGCUGAUGCCUGUACCUCAGUUGCCAACUUGGCAGGAUUGUCAUGAAUUGUGGAGCAAAAAACGAAGACGUCAAUUAAGGGAUCAACAUGAUAGCUCUACGGGAAGAAUACCUCUUUUAAAUCUUCCAAAUAGAGGAGGAGGUCCUCAUAGAGCCAUUGAAGAUAUAUCAGACGUUGGAGGGUCAGAACUCGGCGAAUGACCAAAGAAGUCGACGCCUUUAGAUAGGAAUAAAGGAAUGAGAGAAAAAGAAAACGAUUACUUUUAGAUGAUUUAAGAUCUGUGUAAUUUAGAAUACACAGGGGACUGCAAUGAACGUUUUCAUUAAACGUUGUACAUUUUUAUACAACCUACUUUUAUAUUUGUCGUUAUGCAUUAAAUUACUGAUUUAAUAAUAUAUAUAGUCAUUUGGAAUAUGGCGUUGGUACUGCUACACAUACACACGUAAUAAACAUCCUAAGAUUUUUGUGCUCGCCAAUUCAAUGAAAAUAUCUAGUUCAUUUAUUAUAUCGCUAUUAUCUUUAUAUAUACAUGUAAAAGCUGUACCUCCCCCCAAUUUACUGUGAUCAAAACUACCAUUUUUUCAAUGACUACAAAUGAUCACGCUAAAGUUUUCUUAUUU